rnacentral:rRNA from 1 species
UACGGAGGAUCCGAGCGUUAUCCGGAUUUAUUGGGUUUAAAGGGUGCGUAGGCGGAAUAAUAAGUCAGUUGUGAAAGUUUGCGGCUCAACCGUAAAAUUGCAGUUGAUACUGUUAUUCUUGAGUGUACAUAAGGUAGGCGGAAUUCGUGGUGUAGCGGUGAAAUGCUUAGAUAUCAGGAGGAACACCUGUGGUGAAGACGGCUAUCUGGCUCGCAACUGACGCUCAGGCACGAAAGCGUGGGGAGCAAAC